CCGGAGGAUAAAAGCUCCACCAUCGCCAUACUUUUUUCAUUUUCCGAUUGGCUUGAUCUUCUGAAAAUGGCUGCUGAAACAAAUGAAUGUGGUGGCAUUCUUGAUGCUGCUACAAGAAAAUUCAAUUGAACGAAAAUUAUAAUACAAUGCUGUAGUGCAUUGAUUAUGGAAAUUUAAGUAUGAAUUUAUUCAACUAGAGAUGAAGACAAUGGUCAUCACCAGAGAACAUCUUCCUCCCAUGUAUAAUUCAAGAUGUGGAGUUAAUAUGGGCGAAGAAAGGAAAUGAAGCUGAUUAUAUUUUAAUAUAGUUCUGGUUAAUUUUGGAAUAUCCAUGUUAAAUGGAUGAUGGAGCUGCAGCUGUUAAAUAUUUCAGAUAUUUCAACAACAAACUCCAA